ACUGCUUAUCACACACACAGCGUUGGCAGGUUCCUGCAACUGCUGUGUACACCAGGCAGAAAUGCAGUGCUGAUCUCUGCGAGGCACGCAUUCUUAGGCUCAUGGGCAUGAGUGUGCUGACCUGGCUGUCGGGGAAGUAGAUCCCUGCCUGGGGAAGCCAAGGGCCAUCUGUCCAUCUGAAACUGUCGUUGGUUGCACAGUUGUGAAUCCAGGUGACAAUCAAAAUGAAGAAGUGAUGAGAAUCCAAGUUAAAGAAUACUAUUUUCUGAAUCUUCUUCUCCACCUGCCCUAUGUUAUCAUCACCUUUUGUUGCUGCUGCUGCUGUACGAGCCCUGAAGGAACAUGAGAUGGCUUUCCUCAAAUAACUGGGAUUUAAAUUCAGUUCAUAUCUCUUAAGUGAAGUGGGUAUGGCCAAAAAGGACUCACUGCCCUGGGGUGCCUGGAAGCAUUAUCAGCAAAGGCAUUCCCCUCAGGAGAAAACAAGCACAGACAUCUCACGUGGGCCCACCUUUCCAACCUUCUCCUGGACUCUAGGAGCCUUCUCUGAGCCAGAGGUCUCUCUGAAGUCACUGUCAGACCAUUUUGUGCUGUUUAGGAACGGCUGAAGUCCUUAUAAAUCCCAGAUGGGAUGGGAAGAAAACUACAUUGAAUUGAUGAUUUCCAUGAUCUCUAAAAUUCAACCCAGUAUUUCUUAAGAUUAAUGGAUGUGACAUUAAUAACGCAUAUGACAGGUCCAGUGUGGGGUCAAUUCAGGGGGAAUUUGUGACCAAAAUAUCAAAAGGUGCUCAUUACAAUACAGUUUCACUGAGGGGGAUGCCCCCAGUAAGGCCUGUGCCGCAGAAGCUGCAGGACCUCCACAAGGCCAGCACCCCGGGCCAUUGCUUCUGAUGGUCUUUUUUUUUUUUAAUUUUUUUUCUCUGAUGCUCUGGUCUUUUAACUAGAAGGAUGGCUAGCUGCCGUUUGCUACAGGCAUCUCCUGCCCCAGGAACUGUGCAUAUAUGUGGUAUCUGAUACCUUUAAUACUCACAGGUAUGCAAGGUAGGAGCUAGGUGCAUUUUUUGUUUUGUAAGAUUAGGAACCAGAGAAUGGAAGAUAGGCUGUGAAGAGCAGGAGAGGGGUAAUGGGAGAGAUUGGUCAGUGGGUACAAAGUUACAGUUAAGUAGGAGGAAUAAGUUCUGGUGUUAACCAUUGGCACAGUAGGAUGCCUACGGUUAACAAUAUCAUAUUGUAUAUUUCAAAAUAGCUAGAAGAGAGAAUUUUGAAUGUUCUCACCGCAGAGAAAUGACAAAUAUGUGA